UGUCAGUUUUUCCAGUUUCUGGGCCAGGAUUAUCGCUCGGCAUUUCAAGUUAACACAAAAAUUAAGUUUCAGCGCACGCUGCCGACAAAGAACGGCCGAGCCCGAAGGCCGCGGGGCUGCCCGCACAGAGCCGCUCGGUGGCGGGGUAAGCUGCGGGGUCCCGGAGGGGAGCCUGCCCCGGUCCGCGGGCCCCUGGGAGGGGUACGGCGGCUGAUUCGUCUCGUACAACCCGAGGCUCCACAGCGAGCACAACCUCCGAUCCAGAGAGGGAAGGGUGCCCGCACCCCCACGGCAGCCCCCCCUUACCUUCGGCCGGAGCGCGAACCGUACGCAGGGGCUGCGCGCCCGGCGGCGGGGGCGCGGUGCUGGCCCGGGCGGCCUCCGGAGCAUCCUCCGUGCGGGGCCCCCCCCCGCCUGGCUCCGCUGCGAGCCGCGGCUGCCCCGGGCGGCACCUCCAGCGCUCUGGGCCCUCUCAUCGCCUCUGCUUUCUAUUUAACGCGGCGGCGCUUUUCUGCCCGCCCGCCCCUCCCCGGCCUUCUCCGAAAACACGUGGCCCCGCUUCACUUUCACUUUCCCAAUGAGUCACGGCUCGCCGGGGCUCAGCCCAGCCGGACAGGGCUGAGCCGAGCCUGGCUCCCAGCGGAGCGCCGAGGGCAGCUGGUACUGCCCCUGCCCCGGGCCGUGCCGAGCCCCGCUGGUCAGUUAUCCCCUUGUGCCCUGAAAGCCGCCCGAGGGGUGCUGGAGGAGCCCCGCCGCGGCCCGCAGAGGGCGCAGGAUUCGGUGUGCCCGCCUCCGGGGGGCGAGGGGAGAGCCGGGAUGAGGGGCUGGGACGAUCAGGGGGCAAGCGGCCUGCCGAGGGGAGCGGGGCGGCACGGGCAGGGCACGGAAGGGGGCUUCGUGCCUGGCUGUGGAAUGGCCAACAAGGGGUGCAGACUUGGAGCAGCAGUGGCUUUGCGCUGGAAGAGCAUUCAGAGAAACCUGCGAGCCUUCCACCCGGAGGACGGCGCAGACGCUGCACUGGUUUUAGAGUUCUUGAGAGAGAAUUUCCUCGGGGCUUUCUCUAGGGCAAUUGGACUUACAAGUAACUGUUCAAAUCCCCAGCUGUAUUUAUGA
rnacentral:lncRNA from 1 species